rnacentral:rRNA from 1 species
AUUGAACGCUGGCGGCAGGCCUAACACAUGCAAGUCGAGCGGAGCGGCGGACGGGUGAGUAAUGCCUAGGAAUCUGCCUGGUAGUGGGGGAUAACGUCCGGAAACGGGCGCUAAUACCGCAUACUAUCAGAUGAGCGUAGGUCGGAUUAGCUAGUUGGUGGGGUAGAGGCCUACCAGGGCGACGAUCCGUAACUGGUCUGAGAGGAUGAUCAGUCACCCGGGAACGGUGGCACGGUCCAGACUCCUACGGGAGGCAGCGGGGGGGAAUAUGGGACUAUUGGCGAAAGCCUGAUCCAGCCAUGCCGCGUGUGUGAAGAAGGUCUGCGGAUUGUAAGGCUGUUUAAGUUUGGAGGCGUUACCAACAGAAUAAGCGCCGGCUAACUUCGUGCCAGCAGCCGCGGUAAUAC